GCUCAACCGGGGAGGGUCAUUGGAAACUGGGAGACUUGAGUGCAGAAGAGGAGAGUGGAAUUCCAUGUGUAGCGGUGAAAUGCGUAGAUAUAUGGAGGAACACCAGUGGCGAAGGCGGCUCUCUGGUCUGUAACUGACGCUGAGGCUCGAAAGCGUGGGGAGCAAACAGGAUUAGAUACC
rnacentral:rRNA from 1 species